UAUCUCUUUCUUUUGCAUUCAUUUGCUUUGUACUGUUGAGGGUAAAAUGAUCCUGGAAAUUUCUCUUGUUGAUUGUGACACCGAUUGGUUGUUAACUUGCAUAUAUAUUCUGAAUUUGCUUUUACCUCUGUUUACCGUGUGAAUUUGAUGCAUGAUGCUACAUGCUAGUUAAAGAUGUGUCUUGAUCUUUGCUGUAAAUUAUUCUGGUAUUUUAGAUGAUUCAACUGGAACAAUUGUGUGUCUCAUCACUGCCAGAAGAUGCUACACAGCCAUUAAAAUUGAAGCAAGGAGCAUUACAUAGAACAAGAAGAUGGUGCAUGCUAUGUUGCAACAGUUGUACACCCAUUCGAUGCUCAAGCUGAAUGGGAGUUGAGUCUACUAGCUAAUGAUAUUGUCGUGGUUCAGCAGGUGAUUCCUGGUGGCUGGUCCAAUGGCGAAUGCAAUGGUAAGACAGGAUGGUUUCCUUCCCCUUACGUACAAAGGUUGGUUGAAGUUUCAGAAGGCAAUGUAUCCUGGGCAAACCUUUUGCAGCAAUAGUUACAGUUUCUCUAGUUACCAUGAUUUUGUACAGUUUUUCAUACAAUAUUCACUAGAGAAACUGUACAAAAUUAUGGGUUUUAAGUUUUGGUGUUGUCAAAAUAUUGUGUAGCACAUAGUCUAUGUACCAAUAAACAAGUAAUUGGAAUGAUGUAUAGUAUACACCAUAUAAUUAUAAAUUUUGGGUCAACAUUUGAAAGAUUUGCCUAAAACUUGGAUGUAUCUAAUCUUACAAAAUUGCAAUAAUUUCUU